AAAAUGACUCUCGGCAACGGAUAUCUCGGCUCACGCAUCGAUGAAGAACGUAGCAAAAUGCGAUACUUGGUGUGAAUUGCAGAAUCCCGUGAACCAUCGAGUUUUUGAACGCAAGUUGCGCCCGAAGCCAUCCGGUCGAGGGCACGUCUGCCUGGGCGUCACGC
rnacentral:rRNA from 2 species